GGGCCCGUAGCUCAGGGGUUUAGAGCGGCGGACUCAUAAUCCGCUGGUCCCUGGUUCGAAUCCAGGCGGGCCCACCG
rnacentral:tRNA from 1 species